rnacentral:tRNA from 1 species
UGGGCUGGGGCUCACUGGUAAAGCACUUGCCUAGCAUGUGAGAGGCACUGGGUUUGAUUCUCAGCACCUCAU